AGUGAACGCUGGCGGUAGGCCUAACACAUGCAAGUCGAACGGCAGCACAGUAAGAGCUUGCUCUUACGGGUGGCGAGUGGCGGACGGGUGAGGAAUACAUCGGAAUCUACUUUUUCGUGGGGGAUAACGUAGGGAAACUUACGCUAAUACCGCAUACGACCUACGGGUGAAAGCAGGGGAUCUUCGGACCUUGCGCGAUUGAAUGAGCCGAUGUCGGAUUAGCUAGUUGGCGGGGUUAAGGCCCACCAAGGCGACGAUCCGUAGCUGGUCUGAGAGGAUGAUCAGCCACCCUGGAACUGAGACACGGUCCAGACUCCUACGGGAGGCAGCAGUGGGGAAUAUUGGACAAUGGGCGCAAGCCUGAUCCAGCCAUACCGCGUGGGUUAAGAAGGCCUUCGGGUUGUAAAGCCCUUUUGUUGGGAAAGAAAAGCAGCAGGUUAAUACCCCGCUGUUCUGACGGUACCCAAAGAAUAAGCACCGGCUAACUUCGUG
rnacentral:rRNA from 1 species